rnacentral:pre_miRNA from 1 species
UAGAAUAGGGGAGCUUAACUUAUGUAUAUCAUGUAUAAGUUAAGAACCUUUAUUCUAAG